GACGAACGCUGGCGGCGUGCUUAACACAUGCAAGUCGAACGGAAAGGCCCUGCUUUUGUGGGGUGCUCGAGUGGCGAACGGGUGAGUAACACGUGAGUAACCUGCCCUUGACUUUGGGAUAACUUCAGGAAACUGGGGCUAAUACCGGAUAGGAUCUCCUGCUGCAUGGGGGGGGUUGGAAAGUUUCGGCGGUUGGGGAUGGACUCGCGGCUUAUCAGCUUGUUGGUGGGGUAGUGGCUUACCAAGGCUUUGACGGGUAGCCGGCCUGGGAGGGUGACCGGCCACAUUGGGACUGAGAUACGGCCCAGACUCCUACGGGAGGCAGCAGUGGGGAAUAUUGCACAAUGGGCGGAAGCCUGAUGCAGCAACGCCGCGUGCGGGAUGACGGCCUUCGGGUUGUAAACCGCUUUCGCCUGUGACGAAGCGUGAGUGACGGUAAUGGGUAAAGAAGCACCGGCUAACUACGUG
rnacentral:rRNA from 1 species